UACGGGGGGGGCAAGCGUUGUUCGGAAUUACUGGGCGUAAAGGGCUCGUAGGCGGCCAACUAAGUCAGACGUGAAAUCCCUCGGCUUAACCGGGGAACUGCGUCUGAUACUGGAUGGCUUGAGUUUGGGAGAGGGAUGCGGAAUUCCAGGUGUAGCGGUGAAAUGCGUAGAUAUCUGGAGGAACACCGGUGGCGAAGGCGGCGCACUGGACCAUAACUGACGCUCAUGCGCGAAAGCUAGGGGAGCAAACAGG
rnacentral:rRNA from 1 species